CUUCAGAGUUUUAUUGGGUUUACAUACUUCUUACAUAAUUUAGGCAGGUUAAUUAACAUUAAGGGAGUAGCCUGGGACUGGGCACGUAUGUAGAGAGUGACGUCUCUGACCAGCACUAGGUGGCGGUAUGGGGCCACAUUAGAUUAAACAGUGAUCUUAACUAGUUGUGUGUCAUAACAAGCUUUAGUUUUACCUCGAAAUCACCUCCUUGCACAGUGAACCUGUUGACUCCCAUGUUCAGAAUAUGGGGACAACAGUUUGCUGCAGACCUCAGACUCCCUUGUUUCCAGCUCGUAAACCCAUCAGAUUACAGCCUCGGGGUUUUGGGCAUGGUUGACAGCACACCUUUGACACACUGCUAUGUGGUGGCUUGUACUGUUUCUGUUGAAGGUGGUUGUACAGUUAGAACUUGCUCUGUGUAUUACCGGUGUAUUGUCUGUAGUUUUAUCAAUGGGGUUUCCUCUGCUCUGUCUGUUUUCCUUCCUCUGCAGUGAUUUAAAAACUGAAGUGAGAAUGAAAUGGUGAAUCAGCGUACACAAGUGACCUAAACCAGAGAGGGGAAGGAUAUAACAGCUACCAUGACUAUCAGUUUCGUUCUGUCACCUACUGUCUCACACACGCCUCCUUACACUUCCUGCUCCUGCCCCUCUCUCCUCAUUCCUCUGUCCUCAUUCCUCUCUCAUUUCUCUGUCCUCAUUCCUCUCUCAUUCCUCUGUCCUCAUUCCUCUCUCAUUCCUCUCUCAUUCCUCUGUCCUCAUUCCUCUCUCAUUUCUCUGUCCUCAUUCCUCUCUCAUUUCUCUUUCCUCAUUCCUCUCUCCUCAUUUUUCAAGAACAGGUAUUUUCUCGGUGUGGGUGUUUCGAAGAGUAGAAAGGAGAGAAUGUUCCUUCGGAAGUGUUGGUGGGAGAGGAACGAAGGGACAUCGAAGGACUUCCCCACAGUCCACUGCUUCGCUGGCCAUCUACAGUUGAUGAGAGCUCACUCCCGGCCAGAGGAAUCAGGGUGGAGUGUGGAAUUGGGUGACGUGACAAGGAUGAGGGUGUAUAAUUAGAUCAGGGCUGUUCUGAAUGAGCCACGGCUAAUCCAGAGCCCUCGGCUGAAGGGGCGGGACGGAGCUGGAGGCUGCCGUUGGCAAUGAUUGUGGUCCGAAAUGUUGGAGCUGUCAACGUCUCAAACUGUUCUAACUUCUCUGCAUUCCACUUUAAAUCAAAUGAAAUUGUUAUAAUAAAAAAAAACAAUUGCGUGGCUACAUAUAUUCUACACUGAGUAACAGUACAGAGUCACUAGAACAAGGUAGUUGG
rnacentral:lncRNA from 1 species